rnacentral:rRNA from 1 species
UACGUAGGUGGCAAGCGUUAUCCGGAUUUAUUGGGUGUAAAGGGCGUGUAGGCGGGAGCGCAAGUCAGAUGUGAAAACUCAGGGCUCAACCCUGAGCCUGCAUUUGAAACUGUAUUUCUUGAGUGCUGGAGAGGCAAUCGGAAUUCCGUGUGUAGCGGUGAAAUGCGUAGAUAUACGGAGGAACACCAGUGGCGAAGGCGGAUUGCUGGACAGUAACUGACGCUGAGGCGCGAAAGCGUGGGGAGCAAACAGG